AAGAGUUAGCAGAGUUGGAGUCCGAAUUUUAGUAAGGAAGGUGCUUAUUUUAUAUCAGGCGCUUGAGCUCUUCAUUUAAAGUCCCGACAUCUUCCGCUCCUUCUUAACACCCUGUUCCUCAGCUCCUUCUUUGUUAGCAGAGAACACCUUUCACCAUUAUAAAAACGUGAAUUGCAGCAAGAAGUUAAGUACCCCGAAAGAAAAGGCCGGGAGAUUCACUAUUAUUACUAUUCGAAGAAAAGGCUCUCCUCCUGAGUGUUUACAACUGAACACUCACUAACUUUUUACAGCCCUGAAGUUCAAACCCAGAACUUCAGUACCUUGCUCUAUCUUUCCCUGAACUUUUGACUCAACACUUAUUAAUAGAGAAGUGAAUCGACUUUCAGCUACUCUGUCACUCGAGUUUCUUCAACGUCAAAAGUUCUUUUUUUCUUACUUGGGUCUGUCAUUUCCUUAUAAAGCUUCAGCCAGAUGACCGUCCACUUUGAUUUGCAGAGAUCUCUUUACCGUUGCUUGAUUGUUUGAUUUGGGCACUGCUGAUUUUGCUUCCUUUGAUUAAGUUUGAUUCUGUCUCUUGACUUUUGUUCUGCACAACUCAGAAACAAACUUUCCCCAAUUCUACUUUGGGCAAAAAAUAAUU
rnacentral:lncRNA from 1 species